rnacentral:rRNA from 1 species
CCCUUAGAUGUCCGGGGCCGCACGCGCGCUACACUGACGCACGCAACAGGUGCCUGCUCCGAGAGGACUGGGUAAUCAUUUGAGUGUGCGUCGUGAUGGGGAUAGAAUAUUGUAAUUAUUACUCUUCAACGAGGAAUUCCUAGUAAGCGCCAGUCAGCAGCUUGCGCUGAUUACGUCCCUGCCCUUUGUACACACCGCCCGUCGCUCCUACCGAUGGGUGAUCCGGUGAAUGAUUCGGACUUCAGCGGCUCCCCUGGGGUGCGCCGGAGAAAGUUUUGUGAACCUUAUCACUUGGAGGAAGGAGAAGUCGUAACA